GUUCUGAGUAGUUGAAGCAGAUGGCUGAGCCUUGAAGGACUAAAGAUAUCCAUGGCACAACUCAGUGCUCUUCUAUUGAACUUCAUGGAUCUUUAUUCUAAAAGCUUGGGAUGGGACUCACUAAAGCAGAACUGGGACUGUGAGACUACGCCAGCCUUUCCCUUGUGUAAUGUCAAUGUCGGCUAUCACUUUGGCAGAAUCACCCAGCUCAGUGAAGACAGAAAACCCCUCCUUUCCUCCUGUUUUUCAUCUGCUGGUGGCAUUCCAAGUGACCUUCCCUCAUAA
ensembl:lncRNA